GACGUAGGGCGCGAGCGUUGUCCGGAUUUAUUGGGCGUAAAGAGCUCGUAGGCGGUGUGUCACGUCGAUCGUGAAAACUUUCAGCUUAACUGGGAGCUUGCGGUCGAUACGGGCAUCACUGGAGUUCGGCAGGGGGAGACGUGGAAUUCAAGGUGAUAGCGGGUGAAAUGCGCAGAUAUCUUGAGGAACACCGGUGGCGAAGGCGGGUCUCUGGGCCGAUACUGACGCUGAGGAGCGAAAGCAUGGGGAGCGAACAGG
rnacentral:rRNA from 1 species